UACGUAGGGGGGCAAGCGUUGUCCGGAUUUAUUGGGCGUAAAGAGCGUGUAGGCGGCCAUACAGGUCAGCUGUGAAAACUCGAGGCUCAACCUCGAGACGUCGGUUGAAACCGUAUGGCUAGAGUCCGGAAGAGGAGAGUGGAAUUCCCGGUGUAGCGGUGAAAUGCGCAGAUAUCGGGAAGAACACCUAUGGCGAAGGCAGCUCUCUGGGACGGUACUGACGCUGAGACGCGAAAGCGUGGGGAGCAAACAGG
rnacentral:rRNA from 1 species